GCCACAUUGGUGUAGUGGUUAAGGCAUCAGGCUAGAAACCUGGAGACCGUGAAUUCUAGUCUCACCUUGGGCA
rnacentral:tRNA from 1 species